rnacentral:lncRNA from 1 species
GUCCACCACCACUAGCACUGCCGUCUUGCCCCUCGAGCUGGGUAGAUCCGUGACAAAGUCCAGGGCCACCCUCUCCCACGGUUCGAGCGGUGUCUGCAGCGGUUCGAGCAGUCCCGCCGGCGGUUUGUGCACUGACUUGGCCCUUUGGCAGGUGUCGCACCUCGAGACGUAAUCCGCGACUUCCUCCCGCAUCUUGGGCCACCAAAAAUCUCUGGCUACUAAUUCUACCGUCUUCUCUUUGCCAAAGUGCCCGGCGGUGGGUGCGUCGUGCAACUGCUGCAGUACUUUCGCGCGGAGGUCGUCUCCCGGUACGUAGAGGGCCCCUCUGCGGAUGAGCAAUCCGUCGCGUAUCUGGAACUCGUCGUCCUCCGCCGUGCCCCUUUGCACCUCUGCCAUCUUUGCUUGCGCGAAGGGGUCCUCCUGCAGUGCUCGACGUACAGCAUCCAGGUCCACGGUUGCUGAAGCGCACGCCCACGCUUUCGGUGCGAAAAUGUGCUUGGCCGCUGCUGGUGCCGCCUCCUCGAGGUAUUGCGGCUUUCUGGACAGUGCAUCCGCCAUGAUGUUGUUGUCGCCUGGGAUGUACUCUAUCCUGAAGUCGAAAUCCGCAAAGAACUCCGCCCAUCGUAUGUGCCUCUGGUUCAGGAACCUUGCCGUGCGCCAGUACUCCAGGUUUUUAUGGUCCGUGCGGACCUGCACUGUGUGUUUGGCUCCAAUGAGGAAGUGCCGCCACGCCUUGAAUGCUGCAUGAAUGGCCAGCAACUCCCUGUCCCAGAUGGUGUAGUUCUGCUCUGACUUGCUGAGCUUCCUGGAGUAGAAGGCACACGGUCUCCAGUCCCCAUGCGGGUCUUGCUGCAACAGUACUGCUCCCACGGCUCUGUCUGAGGCGUCCGUUUCAACCCUCAUCGGUCUGCUGGGAUUCACAUGCAGUAGCUGCUCUUCGGACGAGAAGAGACGCUUGAGUUUCUGAAAGGACUGCUCCGCUUGCUCCGUCCAGAUGAACUUCUUCUUCUUGGAGCUGAGCGUGUCGGUAAUGGCCGCCGUCUGCAUCGCGAACCCCUUGAUGAACUUGCGGUAAAAGUUGGCGAAACCGACAAACCGCUGGACCUCCUUCCGAUUGCGCGGGCUCUUCCAGUCCAACACUGAGCGAACCUUGGCGCUGUCCAUGGCGAGCCCCUUGUCCGACAACUUGUAGCCCAGGAAAUCUACCUCCUUCAUGUCGAACUGGCACUUCUCCAGCUUGGCGUACAGCCUGUGCUCCUGCAGUCUCUGCAGAACUUCCUUGACGUCUCCCUCGUGGGUCUCCUCUGAUUCUGAAAAUAUCAGGAUGUCGUCCAGGAAGCAGACGCAUUUCUUGUAGAGGAGACCCGCCAAUACGUGAUGCAUGAAGGCUUGAAAACAGUGGGAGCCAUUUUGUAAUCCAAAGGGCAUAACUCUGUAUUCAUAGGUGCCCAGGGGCGUGAACAUGGCAGUCUUCCAUUCGUCGCCCUCCCGUAUGCGAAUCAGGUUGUACGCCCCUCGCAGAUCCAACUUUGUGAAAACGCGUCCUUUCCUCACCGUUGCGAGCAGGUCAUCUAUCUUGGGCAUGGGAAAGGCUGUGGGCUUGGUUUUCGAGUUCAAAAUUCUAUAGUCCACCACAAGCCUUUUUGGGGCGUGUCCUUCUUCUUCACAAAGAAUACAGGACUGCCCCCACUGCCUUCGACUCCUGGAUGAAACCGCGCUUCAAGUUGAGGUCUAUGAACUCCCUGAGUUCCUGCAGCUCGUCUUCAGACAUGGAAUACAGUUUCCCGGUUGGCAGCGUCGCCCCUGGCAGGAGGUCAAUCUUGCAGUCAUAAGACCUGUGGGGAGGUAGCUUGUCCGCUUCCUUCUCGCAGAAAACCUCCAAAAACGCUGCGUACUUGAGUGGCACUGCUUGCAGCGUGCCUAAUUGUAGCUGCGGGUCAUCCUCUUCCCCUUCCGGGCUAGGCAGAAUGCAAUGUUCCGCACAGUAUGAGGAGCCGAAGGUCAGUUGUCGCUGGUACCACGCCAAUGCUGGGCUGUGCCUGUGCAGCCAACUCAUGCCUAAUACUAUAGGCGUGUCCGACAGUUGGGUGACAUUGAAGCUGAUGACUUCUCGGUGAUUCCCAAUUUGCAUCACCAUCGGAGGCGUUUGCUGCACCACCUGCCCCCAGCAAUUCCCUGCCAUCCACCGUGACAACUUUCAGAGGCAGCGUGGCUGGCAGGAGUGCUAUGUUGUGCUCUUGAAGGAAAUCCAGUCCUAUGAAGUCUGCGUUACUACCAGAGUCAAUGGUAAUCGGCACUUCCAUAGUGAGUCCAUUGGGUAGUUGGAGCGAUGCUGUGAGCUGCACCACUGGUUUGGGCGGGAGGGGUCUGUGGGCUGCAAAAUCUCUGGGGACGGCUUCAUUGACUUGUCUGGUUGGGCCCCAGUGCCUCUUCCUCCAACCAGACUCUGUCGUUUCCCUGCUGUGGUUCUCUCUGCUGAGUUGCUUCUGUUACUGUUGCUGAGGCUGCAGUGUGCUUGUGGAGCCUCUGGGGACACUCUUUCGCCAUGUGCUGAGCACUGUCGCAGAUGUAGCACUUCCUGUUCCCUCUAGGAGGCUUCGCUUUGACUGCUCCCGGUGUUAAGGCUCUGGUUGCUGACUGAGCCCUGGCGCCUCCAAUCUCCAUCGGUUGCUCUCCCCCUCCUUGCGGAGGUGGGGAUUGCACACGCGCUGCAUCCUUGGGAAAGAGGGAGGUGCUCUCACUGGCGUACGUCCCCAACGUCCUUCUUCUCUGUUCCAUGGACGUUCUUCCAGACGCACCCCAAUUUGCAGCGCCCGCCGGACAACCUCCUGAGUGCUCUUUGGUCUCUCCCCCCUUGCAAUCUCAUCUUUCACAUUUGCAUUCAAGCCUUCCCAAAAAAGGUCUCUGGCUGGGGCAGAAUCCUUCUCCCAUCCCAGCGCAUGGACUAAUGCAAAAAAGCGGGAAUGGUACUGCCUUACACUGGCUCUGCCUUGUUUGAGCCCAUGUAUGUCUUUUCUGGCGAUAUCAAUGUCUAUAUUUGAUAAAAAACACGAAUCCAUCGCUUUAAUGAAUGCAUCCGCAUUUUGGAGCGCCGGAUCCUUAUCUCUCCACAGAUUGCGCAGCCACGCUUUAGCUUCCCCAUGCAAAUGGGACAAGAUAAACCCCACCUUCUCUUGCUCAUCUCUAAAGUCUUUAUCCAGCAGUUCCAGCGCAAACAGCACGUCUGCUCGGAAGUUAGGGUACUGCUGCAAAUUCCCAUCGAAAUGAGAUACCAGGCUGCCUCCUCUUUUCCCCAGCCCAAUCCCCUCUGAUUUGGGUCCCGGUUGCCCCUGCUUAGCAAGCACUUCCAACCUGGCUUGGAGAUCCCUGCAGGCGGCAGCCGCUUCCUCUUCCCUUUUCCUGGAUGCGAGUACCUCCGCGUUGAGUUGUGUCACUGCAUUUUGCAGGGCUGCUAGUUGCUGUUCUGUAGUCAUCUUGCCUGACUUUUGUGAGCUCGCGAAGCACCAAUCUUCUUCCCUCGCUGCGUCCACUCACGUUACGAGGUUUUUGGUGCAAAACUUUUGGAGAUGGAGCUUACUGUCAGAGCUGGCUCCAGGUCCCAGCUCACAGAGGACCAACGCUAGCCGGCAGUAAUGUACAAAAGUCUUUAUUGAAGUACAGUUUCCAUUUUCAAGCCGGAGCGCCCCAGCUCUACGUCUAGGGGUUAGAUCGGCGAAGCUCCAUCUGAGUCUCCGCCCCUGUACACCAGUUUAAGAUUCUAGCCUUAC